UCCUAGUUAGCUCAGUUGUCAGAGUGCUUCUCUGGAUACGGAGAGCUCCCUGGUUCGAUACCAGGACCAGGCA
rnacentral:tRNA from 1 species